UAACUCUAGUAUCUCCUGAUUUGCGGAUAAAUCUUUCGCCCUUUACCAAAGAUUUCCGUGGUGGAGGCACAAUACAAUGAGUCUUAUCUCACUUUUUCCAACUCCGUCUUCCUGACUGUUGU
rnacentral:snRNA from 1 species